rnacentral:rRNA from 1 species
CCUACGUGAGGCAGCAGUGGGGGAUAUUGCACAAUGGGGGGAACCCUGAUGCAGCGACGCCGCGUGGGUGAAGGAGCGUUUCGGCGCGUAAAGCCCUAUCGGCAGGGAAGAAGGAGGACGGUACCUGACUACGAAGCCCCGGCUAACUACGUGCCAGCAGCCGCGGUAAUACGUAGGGGGCAAGCGUUAUCCGGAUUUACUGGGUGUAAAGGGGGCGCAGACGGCAGCGCAAGCCAGGAGUGAAAGCCCGGGGCGCAACCCCGGGACUGCUCUUGGAACUGCGCGGCUGGAGUGCAGGAGGGGCAGGCGGAAUUCCUGGUGUAGCGGUGAAAUGCGUAGAUAUCAGGAGGAACACCGGCGGCGAAGGCGGCCUGCUGGACUGCGACUGACGUUGAGGCUCGAAAGCGUGGGGAGCGAACAGGAUUAGAUACCCGAGUAGUC